rnacentral:lncRNA from 1 species
UACGUUCCUCUUCUCGACAGCUUCCUCUCGCGAGGCAGACUGACCACGCCUCAGUAAAACGGGCAUAAUGUCUGCUACAGGAUGCUGACUGGCCUCAAACCGGUGGCAUUGGAAAGCUAACUCAAAUCUCUAUCUUGUAUCAAACGAUGAGCUUAAUAUAACGGCCGGAAGGUCUCCAUCCGUAGCUAGACAUCUGACACGCCUGUGUAGUUAUGCACCUCAAAACACUCCAAAAGACACCAAAAUCA